AUUGAACGCUGGCGGAAUGCUUUACACAUGCAAGUCGAGCGGCAGCGCGGGGCAACCUGGCGGCGAGCGGCGAACGGGUGAGUAAUACAUCGGAACGUACCCAGUUGUGGGGGAUAGCCCGGCGAAAGCCGGAUUAAUACCGCAUACGACCUGAGGGUGAAAGGGGGGGAUCGCAAGACCUCUCGCAGUUGGAGCGGCCGAUGGCGGAUUAGCUAGUUGGUAGGGUAAAGGCCUACCAAGGCGACGAUCCGUAGCUGGUCUGAGAGGACGACCAGCCACACUGGAACUGAGACACGGUCCAGACUCCUACGGGAGGCAGCAGUGGGGAAUUUUGGACAAUGGGGGCAACCCUGAUCCAGCCAUUCCGCGUGAGUGAAGAAGGCCUUCGGUU
rnacentral:rRNA from 1 species